rnacentral:rRNA from 1 species
GGAUGAACGCUGGCGGCGUGCCUAAUACAUGCAAGUCGAGCGAACAGACGAGGAGCUUGCUCCUCUGACGUUAGCGGCGGACGGGUGAGUAACACGUGGAUAACCUACCUAUAAGACUGGGAUAACUUCGGGAAACCGGAGCUAAUACCGGAUAAUAUAUUGAACCGCAUGGUUCAAUAGUCAAAGACGGUUUUGCUGUCACUUAUAGAUGGAUCCGCGCCGCAUUAGCUAGUUGGUAAGGUAACGGCUUACCAAGGCAACGAUGCGUAGCCGACCUGAGAGGGUGAUCGGCCACACUGGAACUGAGACACGGUCCAGACUCCUACGGGAGGCAGCAGUAGGGAAUCUUCCGCAAUGGGCGAAAGCCUGACGGAGCAACGCCGCGUGAGUGAUGAAGGUCUUCGGAUCGUAAAACUCUGUUAUUAGGGAAGAACAAAUGUGUAAGUAACUAUGCACGUCUUGACGGUACCUAAUCAGAAAGCCACGGCUAACUACGUG